ensembl:lncRNA
GGCUGAUGGCCUUGGAGGAAGGAGAUGCUGAUAACUUAAAACGCCGUGUAGUGGAACUACUGCUUCAGAACCCCCAAGGCAUCAGGUUUGAGAAUUUUUCUGGGGCCUUCCAUCAGCUGCAUGGUUACUACCCUCGUAUCGCUCUUCAGGGAUAUCAUACGCUCAAGGAAUUAGUGGCUGAUAUGAAGAAUGCUGUGGUUGUGGAAAGGCGUUCACGGCAACAAGUUUUGAAGAUUGCAAAGGGCUUCCGUCUUGACUGUUGGUUGGAAGGAGAAAAAGGGAAUGGAUUGGAAACAUCAGAAAGAGAAGUGGAGAACCUGCGAGAUGAAGACCAAGUUGGAGGAGAAACAACUCUUGCAGACAUCUUGGAUUUGCUCAUCAGCCUCCUAACGGAGUACAAAUCGGGACUGAGAAUUAGCUAUAUCCAGAAAUUCAUGCUAUCCAAGCAUGCAGUGGACAUGGAAAAGUUCAGCAUUGCCCAAGGCUACAAGAACAUCAUGGAAUUCUUGGGACAUGAACUGCCAGAGCUAAUAGUCAGAUAUCAAGAGAAAACCUGUGAAUAUGUUGUACAGAUUCCUGAAGGUCUCUUUGCCUCAGAUCUGUCUGUGGAGUCAGAUUUCUCUACAUGGAGCUCACCAUCCUCGACCCAGGAUCUAACAAGAACAAACUCUGCUAGCUCUUUGUAUUACACAUGCAAAAGUGACCCAAACCAUGUGAAGCAACCUACAAAAUAUGUCCCAGAUCUGCCGGCUGCUUCAAAGCUAAUUCGGGAUGUGCUCAAGAGAUUCCCUCGUGGUAUGAAAGUACGUUUGCUAAAAAGAGUCCUCAGAAAGAGACGCAGAUUUCACUUGGAGGCAUUCUGCACACAGCACGGAUACCAAGAUGUGUUGUCCUGCUUGAAGGAUAUCCCUGAGCUGCUUCUCCUAAAUACAAAUAGGCCUCAGAAUUGUGUCGUCCGCCUUCAGCCAUGUCACUUUGGCUCUGAUCUGUCUUUGGACUCGGAUUUCUCUGGAUGCAGCUCUCAUUCUGAACCCCAUGGUCUAACAAGAAUGAAUUCUGCUGUCUCUCUACCUUCUACCAGUGUGAGUGUGCUGAACCAUGUGAAGGAACCUACAAACCAGGCCCUAGCAUUACCAGAAGUUUUGUCUUUAGUCAAUAACCUGCUCACCAAGUACAAAGACGGUCUGAGAAUUAAGAAAAUUCAAGAUUUCCUGAUGGCUACAAACAGCAUUGACCUUGAGAAAUUCAGUAUCAUGCAAGGCUACAAAGGCUCAGUGGAAUUUUUGCAGCGUCAAAUGCCUUAUUUAUCCUACAAGAAACGAAACCAAGGACUCCACAGUAUUGUUAAACUGGGUAUAAAGGCAAAAAAGAAGCAGUCUCAAAAACAUCCUCAAACUGGAACAACCAAAAAGAAUCCUUCUGUUGCUUCUGUUCCCCCUUUGGUGAAUGCCCCUGAGCCACAGUCAGCAAAACCACUGGAGCCAGUUCAUUCAGAAUCAGGCUUUGGAAGUGUCUCUAAGUCUUCCGUUACACCCAAUGAUUUUUCUGCAAGCAAAUCUCAGUCCCAGAGCCUGCCUUUACAAGCUCCUUCCAUACCACAGGAAGUCAAGAACAUGAUCCAUUCCAGCAUGCGUAUCCCACUUCCAUCCUUUCAUGAGGUCCAUAGUACUUCACCAGCCAAGCCUAACAAUUCCAGCCAGUCUAUUUCCAACAGUCCACCCCAGAAGCCAAAUGUAUGCCAGUUUGGUGGAUCACCACCCAUGGAAGAAGUCCUUUGUCAGUUGGAUAGGCAACUGUCUAGCAAAUCCAAAAUGACUGAAGACGAACCUUCAAAGGACCAGGAUGAUUUGAAGCAGCAAGUAGCCCACAUCCUGGCCUUGCAUCCAGAAGGCAUGUCACUUUUCCAGUUUCGUGCAGCCUAUAGUGCCACCUAUCAGCAGCACUUCCCAAUGGACAACGCUGCUUCUGUCAAACAACGUUUGCAGGAAAUGCCAGAUGUUGUUUGUAUGAAAAGCUAUGGAGUCCAAACAAGGCUGCUAUCUGUAUCUUGUGCAAUGCCAUCUUUAAAAUCUGGUCAGCCUGUCUCUGCCACAAUGGAAAAAACUUCAGUUGUCCCUGGUCUCUCACAGCCCAGAACAGUGUCACUGACUCAAGAGAGUUUUGAAGAACUUGGAGGAGAUGACAGCAAGGAGGAUUACCCAGUCCUUGAUUCUUUGCUCCACCAAGUAGUUAAACCAAGAGCUCAUGUGCAAGAGAAUGUGAAGAAGAAGCCCAAGUCAAUGGGAGCUCUUGUCAUUCCUCAGCCCCCUGUAGUUUGUCAUACAUAUGCUCAAGUCACAGCUUCGCAUAAACCUUUGAAACCAAAUAGUCUUCAUAUGAAGCCCACACAUCUGAAUAGCCCUUAUAUUUCUGCCAGUAGUGCCUCAGUGCCUUCAUAUCCAAAUGAUCCUUGUAUUUCUGCCAGUAGUGCCUCAGUGUCUUCGCAUCCAAAUGAUCCUUUUAUUUCUGCCAGUAGUGCCUCGGUGCCUUCACAUCCAAAUGAUCCUUGUAUUUCUGCCAACAGUGCCUCGGUGCCUUCACAUCCAAAUGAUCCUUGUAUUUCUGCCAACAGUGCCUCAGUGCCUUCACAUCCAAAUGAUUCUCGUAUUUCUGCCAACAGUGCCAACAGUGCCUCAGUGCCUUCACAUCCAAAUGAUCCUUAUAUUUCUGCCAGUAGUACCUCAGUGCCUUCAUAUCCAAAUGAUCCUUGGAUUUCUGCCAACAGUGCUUCGGUGCCUUCCACCUCUCAUCCUGCCUCUUACAAUUCUGGAACAUGGGCGCAGCCGGUGAGCUAUCCAUUUGUGCCGUUGGUUUCCCAGAUGCCAGAGAUUUUCCCUGUCAUGCCUGCCUAUAUCAAAGUUUCUAGAUAUCCUUCUGGGAUCCAGUUUAAGAACCCUACAGUUCAGAGCUCUCCUUUUGCUCAGCCACCCCAUGUGCUCCCAAUUAGAUAUGAUCCAACAAUGCAUCUGACCCAAAGCAUAGAACAAUGGAGCAACAUUCGUACUCUCCCACAAGUGGAUGCCUAUUCUCCAGUGAAGACAUCAUCCAACAUUCUGCAGCUUGCCCAAAGCCCUACAUCCUCAACAAGGAGAUAUCCCAUAUCUCCAUCUUCUAGAAACAUCUCCCAGACUGUCCAGCAUUUAGAAUCUUCUAAACAUACCCAGCAGGUUGGUCUGCAGCAUGGUUCAGUUGUGGUAACAAUGAAUAAAAGCUUUGUAGUAACAUCUCUGGACACACAGCCUAAGCCUCCAGCAUCUGCUUAUCAGAGACAAUAUGUUGAUUGGAAUCCUCUGGCAUCUACUACAAACACAGCACAGUUCAUUUCACUUGGUGCUUGCUCCACUAGUCAGCCCUUUCAGCCCUUGGAAAUUUCCUCUAAUAGCAAAAAGAAUCCUAAUGCUCUGCUUUUUGAACCUCCAGUUUUCGUGGAUCAGCCACAACCUGUUAGUGCAAGUGCCACCAUAACCACCUCAUCGUAUUCACCACCUUCACUUGUAGAUGCUAAUGUAAGCCCAUAUUCCAACCACUUAACUCCCUCCAGUAAUUGCAAUGAUUCUGCUAGUCAACCUUUAAAGCCUUGGGCUUCCAUUCAACAACAACAUACUAGCCUGGAUGUCUCUGUAAUCAAUUCCAGCAGAAAACAAGCAGGUUCAUUGCCUUGCCCUCAAGACCUCACUAUCAGACCAUCCCGCCAACUCUCCAUAACACCUUUAAGUGUUUGUACAGAUAAUGAGCCUCCUAUCCAAGCUAAGCCUGUGGUUUCUUUUUCUAAACAUGCUGACGAUCAUCAUGUUUCUUUGCCAAUAAACCAGACAUCUUAUUCUCCCCCAAAUAGCCCUCUAAAAAAACUGGAUAGUUGUGUUAUCUUGUAA